UCAAGCGACUAAGUGUAUGUGGUGGAUGCCUUGGCGAUCACAGGCGAUGAAGGACGUGACAGCCUGCGAAAAGCUGUGGGGAGCUGGCAAAUAAGCUUUGAUCCACAGAUGUCCGAAUGAGGGAACUCACCUGCUUUGCAGGUAUCCCAUCCUGAAUAUAUAGGGAUGGGAGGCGAACGAAGCGAACUGAAACAUCUAAGUAGCUUCAGGAAAAGAAAUCAACCGAGAUUCCGAAAGUAGCGGCGAGCGAAAUCGGAUCAGCCCAGCACUCGAUAGCAGCCAACUUACGGGAACGGUCUGGAAAGUCCGGCCAUAGAGGGUGAUAGCCCCUUACUGGAAAAGGCAGCUGUGGUACUAAGUGUGCGAUAAGUAGAGCGGGACACGUGACAUCCUGCUCGAAGAUGGGGGGACCAUCCUCCAAGGCUAAAUACUCGUGAUCGACCGAUAGCGUACCAGUACUGUGAAGGAAAGGUGAAAAGAACCCCGGGAGGGGAGUGAAAUAGAUCCUGAAACCGCAUACAUACAAACAGUAGGAGCCUCGUUAAGGGGUGACUGCGUACCUUUUGCAUAAUGGGUCAGCGACUUACGUUUAAUGGCGAGCUUAACCGUAUAGGGGAGGCGCAGCGAAAGCGAGUUCGAACAGAGCGUUCAGUCGUUAGGCGUAGACCCGAAACCAGAUGAUCUAUCCAUGGCCAGGUUGAAGGUGUGGUAACACACACUGGAGGACCGAACCGACUAGUGUUGCAAAAUUAGCGGAUGAGCUGUGGAUAGGGGUGAAAGGCUAAACAAAUCUGGAGAUAGCUGGUUCUCCCCGAAAACUAUUGAGGUAGUGCCUCGUGUAUGACUCCAGGGGGUAGAGCACUGUUAUGGCUAGGGGGACAUGGCGUCUUACCAAACCAUGGCAAACUCCGAAUACUUGGAAGUUUGAGCACGGGAGACAGAGCACCGGGUGCUAACGUCCGGACUCAAGAGGGAAACAACCCAGACCGCCGGCUAAGGUCCCUAAUAUUGACUAAGUGGAAAACGAAGUGGAAAGGCUAAGACAGUCAGGAAGUUGGCUUAGAAGCAGCCAUCCUUCAAAGAAAGCGUAAUAGCUCACUGAUCGAGUCUUUCUGCGCGGAAGAUGUAACGGGGCUAAGUCAAUAACCGAAGCCGCGGAUUCACACUUGUGUGUGAGUGGUAGGGGAGCGUUCUGUAAGCCUGCGAAGGUGACUCGUAAGGGUUGCUGGAGGUAUCAGAAGUGCGAAUGCUGACAUGAGUAACGUUAAAGCGGGUGAAAAGCCCGCUCGCCGUAAGCCCAAGGUUUCCUGCUCUACGUUCAUCGGAGCAGGGUGAGUCGGCCCCUAAGGUGAGGCUGAGAAGCGUAACUGAUGGGAACAAGGUUAAUAUUCCUUGACCACCGCUGAAUGCGAAGGGGGGACGGAGUAUUGAAGAUCAUCCGGGUGUUGGAUAUCCCGGUUUGCGAGCGUAGGAGGCUGACAGGCAAAUCCGUCAGCGAAUCUCCGAGGCGAAGCAUCGAGCUCUCUUUUGAGCGAAGUGAUUGGAUGUGCUUCCAGGAAAAGCCUCUAAGCUCCAGUUCAGCGGGACCGUACCGCAAACCGACACUGGUGGGCGAGCUGAAUAUGCUCAGGCGCUUGAGAGAACUCAGGAGAAGGAACUCGGCAAAUUGACACCGUAACUUCGGGAUAAGGUGUGCCUUUGUAGCGUGGAGGGAGAAACACCCCGAGCGCGAAGAGGUCUCAGAUAAUCGGUGGCUGCGACUGUUUAUUAAAAACACAGCACUCUGCAAAGACGAAAGUCGACGUAUAGGGUGUGAUGCCUGCCCGGUGCUGGAAGAUUAAUUGAUGGGGUGCAAGCUCCUGAUCGAAGUCCCAGUAAACGGCGGCCGUAACUAUAACGGUCCUAAGGUAGCGAAAUUCCUUGUC
rnacentral:rRNA from 1 species